GAGGGCAUAUCUCAAGUGGUAGAGCACACGCCUAGCGUGCCUGAGGUCCUGGGUUCAAUCCCCAGUAUCUCCA
rnacentral:tRNA from 1 species